GUCAAUAUGGCCGAGCGGUUAAGGCGUAUGACUCGAAAUCAUAUGGGAACUCCCGCGCAGGUUCAAAUCCUGCUGUUGACG
rnacentral:tRNA from 1 species